AAAAAAACCCCAGUAAAGCAAACAAACAAAUCCCAUGAUUUUUUAAAUUCGAUCCCAUUGUCAUUUUCAUAUUUUGGUGGAUUAAUCAAGGGCGUUGACGGUAGCAGAAGACGGUUGUCAGACUUUAUGACGGGGGAGGAAGCAAUAGAUGCGGUGCCACUCCGCAACACGUGCAGAACUGUGAUUCGUGUGCCACCUGGGGUUUACUGGCAACCCGUGAGCGUGCCAAGACCUAGAAUCUCAUAACUCUUGCGGGUUUGAGACCAGAAGUUACUAGCUUGACUUGGAACAACACUUCUACCAAAACUGUUCAUCACCAGGCUUCGAGGGUCAUUUAGACUGGGACCUUUAGGUGGGGGACUGUGAUUGUGGAAGGAGAGGGUUAUAUUACUGAGACUAUCACUUUUGGAAAUGGGAAAUGCAUGAAUACAGAGCUGAAUCAUGACCGUAGACUUCUAGAGCGGACUCCGAAUGGAUUGUUGGAAAUUAAAUUGUUGAUCCCUGUAUGUUUACAGAAUUGUACAAAACCUCUUGAGAAAAUUUUUAGUCUCCUUCUUACAACAUUUUGAAGUGUUCAUAUUUGACUUUAAAAUCUCCUCAUUUUGACAUCUAUUAGAAUAUCCAGGAACCUAUAGUUGAGAAUUGUCAUAUUUCCGAUUUAGGCUUAUUGUUUCAGAGAGAAAAUUAGUGUCAUUCUUCUCUACUACUUCUUCCAACAACCACUUGUCAAUUUCUUUGUAACUUAGGUUGGAUGUAAUGAAAUGUAAUCUAAUGCAGUAGUUCAAGGAUCCGUGCUUAUUUUUCUUCCAUAGCAUUGCCAAUUUCUUUUCUUUUCUUUUUUUCUAGCAAGUAUUUCAUUAUUGUUCUUCAUUCUUGUUUCAACUUUGAUUAUAUUGCUUGUGAUAGAUUACAUCAUGUAGACUAGAAGUUACCUAGUUGUGCUCUGCAGUUAGCAUUAAUGGUUUUGGUAUGUUCCUAGAGUUAUGUUGGGCCUCAAAUUAAAUCUACAGUUAUGUUAACUUUCACUGCUUCUAUCUGGUAUUUCUAUGAGUCCAAGUUUCUGACAUGUCCAUGUUUAUUUAAGAGAUUUUCUUUUGUUUCUGACAACCCACACUGGUAUAUCUAUCCAGAUAUUUGACUUGAAGUCGUAGACCAUGUAAUUUAUUGCGGAAGUACAAUUCUACAGUUAUUUAACCUGUUAUUCUGAUUAAAGCUGGUUGUAGAUGAGAUAUGAAAUGCAAAAGCAGAGCACUUUGUUUUUUCAUCUCUUUUUUCGAUCACUCAGAAUUUUUUAUAUUCUGCCUAUGAGCUUUGUGUCUCAGAGAUCUGGCUUUAAUAGCUCUCUUGAGUUGUCAUCUUAUAUGAAAUAAUAGUCCUUGUAUCUUUUGCCAACCGAACUUUCUGGUAUAAGUUGCUUAUAGCAAUGCCAUCACCAUUGAUACAUUAUUCUUGCAGGGUUGUCUCGCUAGGAGAUCAUAUAUUGGUCCUCUUGGCAUUCUUUCUUGUGAUGGUUUGGUCUGCUCUAAUUGAUUAUCGCAUCCAUGCAGAUAUGUGAUUAUUGGCAAUGGAGGGUACUUCAUAUAUGUGCCUUGAACGUCCAUGGGGACUCCUUGAAAGAAUCAUUGUAGCAGACAUGUAGGAUGGAAUAACUUGGGUAAAGCGGAGAAUGAGAGCAAUGCAACUUGCUUUCAAGGAUACAUGUAUUUUGGUUAAAAUCAUAAUGCAUGCUUUAACUUUGGCGAACUGCUAUAAAUAUGAAAUUUGACAAAUAACGCUAAAUAAAUCUUCCCCUGAAUGAACCAUCUCGUGGUAAUUAAUCUUA